rnacentral:misc_RNA from 1 species
UAUAGAGAAUACCGUUUCCACGAAAACGGUCAAAUCCAAAGCGACUGUCUGAACAUCUCUUUUUGAAAAUGGGUAUAAUUCUGCUGGGUCAGUAGUUCAGUUGGUUAGAAUGCCGCUCUGAUACAGCGGAGGUCGAAGAUUCGAGUUCUUCCUGACCCACCACUUAAAUUGAUGAGGUUGGAAUCAAAACCAAAUACUUGUUUUUGAUUCCAGAUGUUCUGAUGAAUAUCUUCGGAAUCUGCUUUUAUUAGCAAUCAUUGUAAAUCGGUUUUUAAUGUCGUAAAUCAAACUUUAUGGAAACAUGACUUUUGAUUUAUUGAACAUCGUAAUCUCAAAAAUCUUUCUAAAUAGAGUAAUCACGAAAGUGAUAAUUCAAUUAGAGAAGCAAGAAUCAACUUAAAUGCUUAAAAAACUCAUUAAGUUCUUUUGAUUGUGUUUGAAGACUUUCUCUUCAAGCAUAAGAUAAAAAGUAACAAAGGGUGUUUAGUGGAUGCCUUGGCAAUCAGAGGCGAUGAAGGACGUGAAAGACUGCGAUAAGUCCGGGUGAGGCGUCAAUAUCCUUUGACCCCGGAAUUUC